rnacentral:rRNA from 1 species
AGCGAACGCUGGCGGCAGGCCUAACACAUGCAAGUCGAACGAUCCUUCGGGAUAGUGGCGGACGGGUGAGUAACACGUGGGAACGUGCCCUUUGGUUCGGAAUAACUCAGGGAAACUUGAGCUAAUACCGGAUGUGCCCUUCGGGGGAAAGAUUUAUCGCCAUUGGAGCGGCCCGCGUUGGAUUAGCUAGUUGGUGGGGUAAAGGCCCACCAAGGCUACGAUCCAUAGCUGGUCUGAGGGGAUGAUCAGCCACACUGGGACUGAGACACGGCCCAGACUCCUACGGGAGGCAGCAGUGGGGAAUCUUGCGCAAUGGGCGAAAGCCUGACGCAGCCAUGCCGCGUGAAUGAUGAAGGUCUUAGGAUUGUAAAAUUCUUUCACCGGGGACGAUAAUGACGGUACCCGGAGAAGAAGCCCCGGCUAACUUCGUGCCAGCAGCCGCCGUAAAAC